rnacentral:rRNA from 1 species
AAAAACAUGUUCUUUAGUUUUAAAUUUAAGGUUUGACCUGCUCUAUGACUUUGGGUUAAAUGGCCGCAGUAUUCUAACUGUGCUAAGGUAGCAUAAUCAUUUGUCUUUUAAUUGGAGGAUUGAAUGAAAGGUUGGACGAGAAACAAACUUUCUUUUAUAUAGUUUAUGAAUUUAAUUUUUUAGUUAAAAAGCUAAAAUGUAUUUAAGGGACGAGAAGACCCUAUAGAUCUUUAUAUUUGUGAAAUAUUUUUUUUUGGUUAAUGAAAAGAUUUUAUUGAACCAAGUAUUUUAUUGGGGUGAUUCAAAAAUUAAUUUAACUUUUUGUUUAUUAUUUUCAUUAAUUUAUGUUUUAUUGAUCCAUUGUUAUGAUUAAAAGAUUAAGUUACCUUAGGGAUAACAGCGUAAUUUUUUUGGAGAGUUCUUAUCGAUAAAAAAGUUUGCGACCUCGAUGUUGGAUUAAAAUAAGUUUUUGGCGUAGCAGUUUUAAUACUAGGUCUGUUCGACCUUUAAUUUUUUACAUGAUCUGAGUU